UGCGUUAUUGGAAGACAUUGAAAACCGUGAUUUUAGAAGGGAGAGAGUUUUCAGUGAUGGAAUGAAUUUUUGCGCAUGAUGAUCCACGGUUUAUAAAUUGCUAUUGUCUCCCAAGAAAUGUUCUGUUAGAUUUGUGCGCGGAUUUGGCCCCUAAUCUGGAAAGGAAAACACGCUGUAAUCAUGCCAUAACCGUAUCUGUCCAAGUACUGGCCACUCGGAGAUUACUCGCUACUGGGACAUUCCAGAGGGAAAUGAGUGACAGGUCGGGCAUAUCACAGCCAUCAUUCAGCCACAUCCUGCCACAAGUGAUCGAAGCGACUCUACACUAUUGUCCAUGAGAUACAUUAGUUUCCCAUUUACAGCCGAUGAACAGGCGCAAGUCAAAGCAGAGUUUUUCCGCUCAUUUAAUUUCCCAGAGGUCAUUGGUGCAGUUGACUGCACGAAUAUUGCCUUACGCGCACCGUCUGCAGAUGAACAUGUAUAUCAUAACAUGAGGAAUUUCCAUUCAUUGAAUUUUCAGAUUUGCGAUGCCCGUACGCAACUACUCAAUGUAUGCUCCGAGUGGCCAGGGUCUACGCAUGACUCAUUCAUUCUGCGCCACCGCAGAGUAGGCCUGCAUCUAGAACCUGGUGAGAAUGGAGGCAGGUGGCUUCUCGGACUGAGGCGGUCAACAAGUGAACUGUAGACGUGGACAGACCCUCGACACCUGUGUCCAAACAUUGCCUGGCACCUGCUGGCACAAACACUCCUGGCACCUGCGGGUCUGCGACGCUUGGUAACGGAUGCAGACGUGGACGGAUGGACCCUCAAUAUCAGGGGCCAAACCUUCCCCCUCACUCCUGGCACCUGCUGAUUUGGGAGCCUCACGCACUUUAUCCCUGGGUGGAGGGCGCAUACUCACCCGGCGCACGGGCUGCAACACAGCUUCCCCCGUUUCAAUGUGAAUAAAAUAAAUCAGUGCAUGUCUUGUAUUUUAAGUUACUGACAACCAAGUUUCACAUUCUCUUAUUACUUACUGUGAUGCAGUCGUGGGGGUUUCGCGCGCCGACUUCACCGUUUCCGAUGUUACUGUUAAAUGAUGUAGAAGUUGGGAUUAAACCAUAUGCAAAAUAGAAUAAAUGUUUUUCUUUUUCUUACA